rnacentral:rRNA from 1 species
GAUGAACGCUGGCGGCGUGCCUAAUACAUGCAAGUCGAGCGAACGGACGAGAAGCUUGCUUCUCUGAUGUUAGCGGCGGACGGGUGAGUAACACGUGGAUAACCUACCUAUAAGACUGGGAUAACUUCGGGAAACCGGAGCUAAUACCGGAUAAUAUUUUGAACCGCAUGGUUCAAAAGUGAAAGACGGUCUUGCUGUCACUUAUAGAUGGAUCCGCGCUGCAUUAGCUAGUUGGUAAGGUAACGGCUUACCAAGGCAACGAUGCAUAGCCGACCUGAGAGGGUGAUCGGCCACACUGGAACUGAGACACGGUCCAGACUCCUACGGGAGGCGGCAGUAGGGAAUCUUCCGCAAUGGGCGAAAGCCUGACGGAGCAACGCCGCGUGAGUGAUGAAGGUCUUCGGAUCGUAAAACUCCGUUAUUAGGGAAGAACAUAUGUGUAAGUAACUGUGCACAUCUUGACGGUACCUAAUCAGAAAGCCACGGCUAACUACGUGC